rnacentral:rRNA from 1 species
GACGAACGCUGGCGGCGUGCUUAACACAUGCAAGUCGAACGGCAAGGCCCUGCUUUUGUGGUGUGCUCGAGUGGCGAACGGGUGAGUAACACGUGAGUAACCUGCCCUUGACUUUGGUAUAACUUCAGGAAACUGGGGCUACUACCGUAUAGGAUCUCCUGCUGCAUGGUGGGGGUUGGAUCGUUUCGGCGGGUGGGGAUGGACUCGCGGCUUAUCAGCUUGUUGGUGGGGUAGUGGCUUACCAAGGCUUUGACGGGUAGCCGGCCUGAGAGGGUGACCGGCGACAUUGGGACUGAGAGACGGACCAGACGGCUAGGGGAGGCAGCAGUGGGGAAUAUUGCACAAUGGGCGGAAGCCGGAUGAAGAAACGCCGCGUGCGGGAUGACGGCCUUCGGGUUGUAAACCGCUUUCGCCUGUGACGAAGCGGGAGUGACGGUAAUGGGUAAAGAAGCACCGGCUAACUACGUG